CAAUAGCGUAUAUUAAAGUUGUUGCAGUUAAAACGCUCGUAGUCGGAUUUCGGGGCGGGCGGGCCGGUCUGCCGAUGGGUAUGCACUGGUCUGGCCGUCCUUCCUUCCGGAGACCGUGCGUGCUCUUAACUGAGUGCGCUCGGGAGACGGAUCGUUUACUUUGAAAAAAUCAGAGUGUUUCAAGCAGGCAGCUCGCUCUUGCAUGGAUUAGCAUGGGAUAAUGAAAUAGGACUUUGGUGCUAUUUUGUUGGUUUCGAACACCGAAGUAAUGAUUAACAGGGACAGUCAGGGGCACUCGUAUUCCGCCGAGAGAGGUGAAAUUCUCAGACCAGCGGAAGACGAACCACUGCGAAAGCAUUUGCCAGGGAUGUUUUCACUGA
rnacentral:rRNA from 1 species